rnacentral:rRNA from 1 species
AGACAGCAGUAGCCGCGGUAAUACGUAGGUGGCAAGCGUUGUCCGGAAUUAUUGGGCGUAAAGGGCUCGCAGGCGGUUUCUUAAGUCUGAUGUGAAAGCCCCCGGCUCAACCGGGGAGGGUCAUUGGAAACUGGGAAACUUGAGUGCAGAAGAGGAGAGUGGAAUUCCACGUGUAGCGGUGAAAUGCGUAGAGAUGUGGAGGAGCACCAGUGGCGAAGGCGACUCUCUGGUCUGUAACUGACGCUGAGGAGCGAAAGCGCGGGGAGCGAACAGGAUUAGAUACCCGAGUAGUCCCUGUCUCUUAUAC